rnacentral:rRNA from 1 species
GAGUUUGAUCCUGGCUCAGGAUGAACGCUGGCGGCGUGCCUAACACAUGCAAGUCGAACGGGGGCCAGCGGCGGAAGGGGAUGGUUUACCAGACCCGGAAGGCGCGGGCCUUAGUGGCGGACGGGUGAGUAACGCGUGGGGAACCUGCCCCGUACCGGGGGAUAACACCUGGAAACAGGUGCUAAUACCGCAUAACAGAAGGGGACGCAUGUUUCUUUCUUGAAAACUCCGGUGGUACGGGAUGGACCCGCGUCUGAUUAGCUGGUUGGCGGGGUAACGGCCCACCAAGGCGACGAUCAGUAGCCGGCCUGAGAGGGCGGACGGCCACAUUGGGACUGAGACACGGCCCAAACUCCUACGGGAGGCAGCAGUGGGGAAUAUUGCACAAUGGGGGAAACCCUGAUGCAGCGACGCCGCGUGAGUGAAGAAGCGUUUCGGCGCGUAAAGCUCUGUCAGCGGGGAAGAAACACGGUUCGCGAGAGCCGCGGACGGUACCCGACCAAGAAGCCCCGGCUAACUACGUGCCAGCAGCCGCGGUAAUACGUAGGGGGCAAGCGUUAUCCGGAUUCACUGGGUGUAAAGGGAGCGUAGACGGCGAGACAAGUCUGGAGUGAAAGGCCGGGGCCCAACCCCGGGACUGCUCUGGAAACUGCCUGGCUGGAGUACAGGAGAGGUAAGUGGAAUUCCUAGUGUAGCGGUGAAAUGCGUAGAUAUUAGGAGGAACACCAGUGGCGAAGGCGGCUUACUGGACUG